rnacentral:snoRNA from 1 species
ACCCCCUGGCAGUGGACGAGGAGACACCUGAUUGGUGGUGUCGCUCUUAUAUUUGGUCAAGGGCAAAGCAGACACGCAGUCCUUAGCGCAUCCUAGCUUGAUGCCUGUGUGUGUUGGUGGGCAGAGCUGUUUCAUGCCUGGCGCACCUAA